rnacentral:rRNA from 1 species
ACCCCUUGAGAGUGGCGAACGGGUGAGUAAUAUAUCGGAACGUGCCCAGUCGUGGGGGAUAACGUAGCGAAAGUUACGCUAAUACCGCAUACGAUCUAUGGAUGAAAGCGGGGGACCGUAAGGCCUCGCGCGAUUGGAGCGGCCGAUAUCAGAUUAGGUAGUUGGUGGGGUAAAGGCUCACCAAGCCAACGAUCUGUAGCUGGUCUGAGAGGACGACCAGCCACACUGGAACUGAGACACGGUCCAGACUCCUACGGGAGGCAGCAGUGGGGAAUUUUGGACAAUGGACGCAAGUCUGAUCCAGCCAUUCCGCAUGCAGGAUGAAGGCCCUCGGGUCGUAAACUGCUUUUGUACGGAACGAAAAGGUCUCUAUUAAUACUAGGGGCUCAUGACGGUACCGUAAGAAUAAGCACCGGCUAACUACGUGCCAGCAGCCGCGGUAAUACGUAGGGUGCAAGCGUUAAUCGGAAUUACUGGGCGUAAAGCGUGCGCAGGCGGUUAUGUAAGACAGAGGUGAAAUCCCCGGGCUCAACCUGGGAACUGCCUUUGUGACUGCAUAGCUAGAGUACGGUAGAGGGGGAUGGAAUUCCGCGUGUAGCAGUGAAAUGCGUAGAUAUGCGGAGGAACACCGAUGGCGAAGGCAAUCCCCUGGACCUGUACUGACGCUCAUGCACGAAAGCGUGGGGAGCAAACAGGAUUA